rnacentral:rRNA from 1 species
CCUACGGGUGGCAGCAGUGGGGAAUAUUGCACAAUGGGGGAAACCCUGAUGCAGCGACGCCGCGUGAGUGAAGAAUGAAUUCGUUACGGAAAGCUCUAUCAGCAGGGAAGAAAAUGACGGUACCUGAGUAAGAAGGCACGGCUAACUACGUGCCAGAAGCCGCGGUAAUACGUAGGGGACAAGCGUUAUCCGUAUUUACUGGGUGUAAAGGGAGCGUAGACGGUGCGACAAGUCUGGAGUUAAAUGCCGCAGCUUAACUGCGGAACUGCUUUGGAAACUGGCGAACUAGAGUGCGGGAGGGGUAAGCGGAAUUCCUGGUGUAGCGGUGAAAUGCGUAGAUAUUAGGAGGAACCCCGGUGGCGAAGGCAGCUUACUGGACCGUAACUGACGUUGAGGCUCGAAAGCGUGGGGAGCAAACAGGAUUAGAUACCCGAGUAGUC